rnacentral:rRNA from 1 species
AUGGGCGGAUCCGACGCAGCCCCAGCCGCAAGGGACGACGCCCAGGUCGUGGUGGUUGUGGGAUCCCCCGUCGACGGCCCCCCCGCCCCCUCCGCCUCCGACCUCCCUCUCGCUGCCUCCGCGCCGGCCUCCACGCCACCGGCGCCGGAGGAGGCGGAAGCUAAGCGGGAGCUCUCGGCGGCUGCUCCGGCCGAGAGUUUAGUGGUGGAAGGUAAGCAGGUGGAGGCGGCGGCGGCGGCGGCGCAGGCCAUGGCGGUCACCGUGGUGCGGGACGUCGAGGCGGGCCCCGAAGCGAGCACCAGCGGCGUGGCCGACGAGAAGCCCUCCUGGUUCACCCCGAAGAGAUUACUUGUGAUGUUCUGCAUAAUCAACAUGCUAAAUUAUGUUGACCGGGGAGUAAUAGCAAGUAAUGGUGUCAAUGGCAGCCGUGGCAGUUGUUCUGGUGGCACAUGCUCAUCAGGUUCUGGAAUUCAGGGUGAUUUUAAUCUGAGCAAUUUUGAAGAUGGCGUGUUGUCCUCGGCAUUUAUGGUAGGGUUGUUGGUGGCUUCCCCGAUAUUUGCGUCAUUGGCAAAAAUACACAAUCCUUUCAGGCUUAUUGGCGUCGGAUUGUUAGUCUGGACUAUUGCAACAGCUGGCUGUGGGUGCGCGUUUGAUUUCUGGUCAAUUACUGUAUGUCGCAUGUUAGUUGGUGUUGGUGAAGCUUCGUUUAUAAGUCUCGCAGCUCCUUUCAUUGAUGACAAUGCACCAGCAGCACAGAAAACUGCAUGGCUUGCUAUGUUCUACAUGUGUAUACCCACUGGGAUAGCACUGGGUUAUGUUUAUGGUGGGUUGGUUGGGGGUCAUCUGCACUGGCGUGCUGCUUUCUGGGGAGAGUCAAUUUUGAUGCUUCCCUUUGUCAUUCUGGGCUUUGUGAUAAAGCCACUAGAGCUCAAAGGAUUUACUCACAACAAAAAGACAAAAGAGUAUGGUCAAAUGCUCAGUCCGGAGCUUCAAGAUGAGACAAAUAAUAAUGGAAUAAAGCAGGGUGUGCCUGCUGUAGUUGAGGGCCUUGCAGAAAAGUCUUCCCUCUCCAGUUUCGGGAAGAAAGUUAUGAUUGAAAUCCAUCAUUUUGGGGUAGAUAUGAAAGAAUUGCUACAAGAGAAAGUCUAUGUUUUCAAUGUGGCUGGUUACAUCUUUUACAACGCUGUCAUUGGUGCCUAUUCAUAUUGGGGCCCCAAGGCUGGUCAGGAUAUCUACCACAUGGCCAGUGCAGAUCUAAUGUUUGGCGGAAUAACAAUAGUGUGUGGAAUAGUUGGAACCCUUGCAGGGGGUUUCAUCCUUGACAAGAUGGACUCUACAAUUUCUAAUGCUUUCAAGCUUCUUUCUGGCGCAACUUUCCUCGGGGCAAUAUUUUGUUUCAGUGCCUUUUGUUUCAAGAGCCUUUAUGGAUUCAUACCCUUCUUUUCAGUGGGGGAGCUAUUGGUUUUUGCAACUCAGGCUCCAGUAAACUACAUAUGCCUUCAUUGUGUGAAACCAAGUUUGCGGCCAUUAUCAAUGGCUAUGUCUACUGUUUCGAUACAUAUAUUCGGUGAUGUGCCUUCUUCACCCAUCGUUGGGGCUCUUCAGGACUAUCUCCAUAACUGGAGAUCAACUGCGCUUUUAUUGACAUCCGUCCUCUUUAUUGCGUUUGGAUUUUGGUUUACCGCCAUAUUUUUCCGCAGCGUUGAUCGUUCGAAUGAGCAGAGCGAGCAUGAUGUUCCUGCCACUGAGAGAUCAAACCUCAGGCCAUUGCUUGAUGAUGGAAACGAUGAAGCGCACACUUCUCAAUGA